rnacentral:lncRNA from 1 species
AUUGAAGAGAAAUUGAAAUUGUUUUGUUUUUUGUAUGAAAUGUCCAACAUACACGUAUGAUGUGUUUGUGUAUCAUAAUAACAAUAUGUGUCGUAUGUGUAAUGCUAAAUUGAAUAAGGAAAAUUAUUUCAAUAAUGACUAAUGACCUAACGAAUAUUUGACUGUGGUGGGUAUUAAUAGUAUAAUCUACAUUCUACAAAAUAGUCAUCGUUAUCGGAAACAGUUUAUUUGUUUAUGAAGUACCUAUGUGUACAUUUCGUUUCGCUUGCUCGUGACCUUGCUUCUGUUGUAGUGCGAAUUUCGACUUGGAUUUGAAUGAAAGAAAAUUAUACCUACAUAACUGAUUGCUAGGCAGUGAUUUAUUUUUCUCUUACUCAAUUAUACACUGGAACUAAAUGACAUGUGCUUGCAAAAUUAACAUUCACAGUAACCGAUGAUCACUAUCCCCCUACGAGCCCCUCCUUCUUCUUGCCGCUUUCACAGUCACCGAUCAUCGCCACCCCCCUACGAGCCUCUCUUUAAGUUAUCUUGCCACAGAUUCCGAUAAGUCUUACUGAAAAGCUUGACUAACGUUUAAUUUUUAUGCAUCAUACGUUUUCUAGACAGUAUUCGGUACGAUACCUUUCUAAGUAUAAUUUUCAUUAUUUUUACAGAUUUUACAGUCACUGAUGAUCUCCGCACCCCUACGAGCCUCUCCUUAAGUUGUCCUGCCACAAUUUCAGAUUUUACAGCCACUGGUGACCGCCGCCCCCCUACGAGCCUCUCUUUAAGUUGUCCUGCCACAAUUUCAGCCAGUGAUGAUCUCCGCCCCCUACGAGCCUCUCCUUAAGUUGUCCUGCCACAAUUUUAGAAUUUACAGCCACUGGUGAACGCCGCCCCCCUACGAGCCUCUCUUUAAGUUGUCCUGCCACAAUUUCAGAUUUUACAGCCACUGGUGAACGCCGCCCCUCUACGAGCCUUUCUUUAAGUUGUUCUGCCACAAUUUCAGAUUUUACAGCCACUGGUGAUCGCCGCCCCCCUACGAGCCUCUCUUUAAGUUGUCCUGCCACAAUUUCAGAUUUUACAGCCACUGAUGAUCGCCGCCCCCGUACGAACUACUGUUUGGCUAGCUUUGCCACUCAUUCCGAUUUCACAGUCAUUGAUCAUCGCCGCCCCCCUACGAGCUUAUGUUUAAGUUGCCCAGCCAUAAGUUC